AGGCCACCUUCAGCUUCUAGAGGCUGCACAGAAUUUCCUGCCACAUGGCCCGCUCCAUAGGCAGAUAAAAACAUGGCAGCUUGCUUUCUUAAGGCCAGCAAGAGAGGGAGAGAGUCUGCUAGCAAGAGGUAAUGGUAGAUAAUGUAAUCAAAAGAGUAACCACCAUCAUUUUGCUGUAUUCUAUUGGUUAGAAGGCAGCCAUGGAUUCCACCCACACUCAAGGAAGGGGAUCACACAGCAGCAUGAACACCAGGAGAGAGGAUCAUGAGGCCACCUUACAGUCUGUCUUCCACAAGGACUCAUCACCUAGGGAUAUAUGCCCUUGUAAGGACUUUGGCUUUUUCUCUGAGACUGGGAGCCAUUGGAAGACUUUGAACCAAGGAAUUACAUGCUGUGAUUUGUUUUAACAGGAAACAAAUGGAAAUAGACUCCCACAGGCUGAGGACAAAAGCACAGGAUCAACUAAGAUGCUAUCCAGGUGAAAGUGGAUGAGGGUUGGAUGUAGAACAUGAGGAAAAAUGAGGAGUCAAGGUUUAUCUCAGAUUUUUGUGCUGAACAACUGGAAGGAUGGAGUUGCCGUUAUCUGAGGUGGGGAAGAUUGAGGGAGAAUAUCAGGGGCCCUGUUUUGGAUACAUUUGAGCUGCCAGCCAUUUGAUGGCAGAUAAGUUAUGCUACGUACACUCAACCCUGGAAGGAGGAGUGAUUCAUCUUUAAUGGAACUGCCAUCUAUACCAGAUUUGGGUUUGCAUUCCACACCUGCAGCACAUCUGCAAGCAUUACUGCUUGAGCGCUGAGUGCUUCAUUUAUAGGCAUCAGAUUCCAGAUUCCACGGUAUUGCCUCAGAGGACCCAUUUAUGGCAAAGGAAGUAUGAGAUACAGUGGUUCUCCUUAUACUUCCCAUUACCUGGAAGCAGUAAGAAUGUUGGAAUGACAUAGUAAAGGUUCCAAAAGGGUGUGAGCUUGGGGAUGCUGUCUUUCAGGAUGGAGUCUAUGCACUGAGCUACUGGCUGAUAUAGAGUGUUGUGUCUCUGACAGUCAGACUUCAUGGGUCCAAGAAUUAAGGGGUAAAAGAAGGAUUGGCCCUUUCAACAUCACUCACAGUGACUCACCAAUCUUGCAAGUCUAAGCUCCAAUGGAUAGAAAAUUCUUGUUCUCAGCAGAACAUUGCUUCAACCUGGGCACAGUAAGAUGUCCAUGGAAACUAAAGCAAGUCUGAAGCCUGGACAAUUUGGUCUCUUCAAGAGGAGAUAACAGCAGGCAAAAGAAGUUUCUAUAUGAACAUGGGAAAUCAAUUCUAUUAUCAUGAACAGCUACUUAUUGUUCCUGCUACUAUGCAACCUGGAGGACCAUAUCUGGAACCCAGGGAAUUCAUGGGGGCAUCUCAUAAGUGCUCCAGGAUGGGUGAAUCUGUGAAAAAGUCGACCCAAUGUGGACAUAAGUAGAGCUGAGAUCUGCAAGAGAUUGGCCAGCAGACAUGGGCGGUGCCCCACAUCAUGCCCUGCCACCCACCCUGAUUUCAGCAGCAGCAGUCUCAUGCUCAGAUGUCUCUGCUUGGGGAAACCAUGUUGUGAGCAAACCAACAGUGGGGGCCGUGUGGAGAGGAAGCCUCCUGCCAACGCCUUGCAAGUGAGCUUGCAAGUGGAUCCUCCAGCCCGAUGUCAAGAAUUCAGAGAGUAUGGCCUCAGCCAACAGCCUGAGAAACCCUGGCCCAGACCAUCCAGCCGGGUCAUCGCAGAUUCCCAACCCUCAGACAG
rnacentral:lncRNA from 1 species